GACGAACGCUGGCGGCGUGCUUAACACAUGCAAGUCGAGCGGUAAGGCUCCUUCGGGAGUACACGAGCGGCGAACGGGUGAGUAACACGUGAGCAAUCUGCCCUUCACUUUGGGAUAACUUCCGGAAACGGAAGCUAAUACCGAAUACGACCACUUCACGCAUGUGAUGGUGGUGGAAAGUUCCGGCGGUGAAGGAUGAGCUCGCGGCCUAUCAGCUUGUUGGUGAGGUAANGGCUCACCAAGGCUUCGACGGGUAGCCGGCCUGAGAGGGUGACCGGCCACACUGGGACUGAGACACGGCCCAGACUCCUACGGGAGGCAGCAGUGGGGAAUAUUGGACAAUGGGCGAAAGCCUGA
rnacentral:rRNA from 1 species